UACGUAGGGUGCAAGCGUUGUCCGGAAUUAUUGGGCGUAAAGAGCUCGUAGGCGGUUUGUCGCGUCUGCUGUGAAAACUCGGGGCUUAACUCCGGGCCUGCAGUGGGUACGGGCAGACUAGAGUGCGGUAGGGGAGACUGGAAUUCCUGGUGUAGCGGUGAAAUGCGCAGAUAUCAGGAGGAACACCGAUGGCGAAGGCAGGUCUCUGGGCAUUAACUGACGCUGAGGCACGAAAGUGUGGGGAUCAAACAGG
rnacentral:rRNA from 1 species